rnacentral:lncRNA from 10 species
GGCUGACCUUCCUCUGAUCACAGGCAAGACAGAGUUUCGCUCUUGUUGCCCAGGCUGCAGUGCAAUGGCGUGAUCUCGGCUCACUGCAACCUCUGCCUCCCGGGUUCAAGCAAUUCUCCUGCCUCAGCCUCCCAAGUAGCUGGGUUUACAGGCAUGCACCACCACACCCGGCUAUUUUGUAUUUUUAGUAGAGACGGGGUUUCUCCAUGUUGGUCAGGCUGGUCUGGAACUCUCAACCUUAGGUGAUCUGCCUGCCUUGGCCGUCCAAAGUGCUGGGAUUACAGGCGUGAACAAAUAGAAGCUGAGGGUGAAGGACCUACAGCUGUCACCUUCAUCUCUUCUCAACACUGCCAGCUGUCCCCUUGGAUCUCCCAGACAGACAACAGGGUACAUCUCUGGUUUCUCGGUGCCCCCUAGAAACCUCGGGUCAUUUCAAGGCAUUAUGCAAAUGAGAAGCUUUCCUUCUCUUCACCUCAUCUCCUGAUCUGCACAAAAGUGACUGUAGGACCCAGUGUUGUAGAUGAGCAUGAGAGUGUGGAGCAGAGUUGGCGAGUGCAAGUCGAGCCCAUCAACCUGGACAGCUGUCUCCGUGCUUUCACCAGUGAGGAAGAGCUAGGGGAAGAUGAGAUAUACUACUGUUCCAAGUGUAAGACCCACUGCUUUAGCAACAAAGAAGCUGGAUCUCUGGAGGCUUCCACCCUUCCUG